GAUGAACGCUGGCGGCGUGCCUAAUACAUGCAAGUCGAGCGAAGCGGGGACGGGGGCGUAACACGUGGAUAACCUCCUAUAAGACUGGGAUAACUUCGGGAAACCGGAGCUAAACCGGCUCCUUAUAGAUGGCUCCGCGCUGCAUUAGCUAGUUGGUAAGGUAACGGCUUACAAAGGCAACGAUGCAUAGCCGACCUAAGAGGGUGAUCGGCCACACUGGGACUGAGACACGGUCCAGACUCCUAAGGGAGGCAGCAGUAGGGAAUCAUCCGCAAUGGACGAAAGCCUGACGGAGAAACGCCGCGUGAGUGAUGAGGGUCUUCGGAUCGUAAAACUCUGUUAUUAGAGAAGCGGUACCUAAUCAGAAAGCCACGGCUAACUACGUGCCAGCAGCCGCGGUAAUAC
rnacentral:rRNA from 1 species